GGGACACGCCCACCCCACCCAAACUGCCCCAGCUUGCAAGGAAGACCUUCCCCCAAGUGGUGAAGACCCCACCCAAGUGGUGAAGUUCCGACAGGAACUUUAGGAAAGGCCCAAACAAGCAGCAGCUGCUCCUCUGCUCUGCCUGCUCAGGGCCGCAGCAGGAGCCCCCACAGCUGCCAACGGAGCCGAAGUGGGAAGGGCACCUGGAGCUUCUCCAGAAGCUGCCACGGCCUCUUUGGGACCAAUUCCAGUGCUGGGUGGCUCUCACACACGCCAGGGGUGUGACGCAGACAUGGGACGUGUGGCCCAGAGCACGAAUGCUGCUCUGACUCCUGGCGAGUGCUGACAUCAGCAGGAGGCUGCAGGCAGGAGCAUCUGGAGCAGCACUUGGUAGCCGCACUUGGUAUCUGUCAGAAGCUGUUGCUCUUACCUGAAAUGAUUUUUGCUUGGAAGUGAUAAUCUGCAGCAGAGAAACACCAUCCACUGUUGACUUCCAGAGGACAGUUACAGAGAUACUGUCAA